UACGGAGGGGGCUAGCGUUGUUCGGAAUUACUGGGCGUAAAGGGCUCGUAGGCGGCCAACUAAGUCAGACGUGAAAUCCCUCGGCUUAACCGGGGAACUGCGUCUGAUACUGGAUGGCUUGAGGUUGGGAGAGGGAUGCGGAAUUCCAGGUGUAGCGGUGAAAUGCGUAGAUAUCUGGAGGAACACCGGUGGCGAAGGCGGCAUCCUGGACCGACACUGACGCUGAGGAGCGAAAGCCAGGGGAGCAA
rnacentral:rRNA from 1 species